GAUACAGGAAGUCUCCGCAUACAUCUGAUGUACAGUAUGCCUACGUUCGAUACUCUCUCUCUAUCAUAAACUCUUGGUGACGGCUUCUCUUUGUCUUACCAUUGUCCUUGCUUUCUCAAGUGUCGAAGUCGUUCUGACAGCGGUGUGUCCCACAACAAUUCGAUCGCGUAGCCAACUAAGGAGUAAAGAGCUGUGAGGUAUUCCUCAAUAGAUUCUCCGUCUAGCUGGUUUCUGCGAUUGAAUCUGGCUCGUUCGAAUAUUACAUUUCUCCGUACUUGAAAGAACUCAUCAAGCUUUUGUAUGACGGGCUGGUAUCUCUCUUUAUCGUGAUGUUAGUAGACAUCUUCUGCAUUUUCUCCUAGGCAGUACAACAGUGUGCUAACUUGUCUAGGCUCCGUGUCACUCCGACACUUAGGAUUAUGGUCUGAAAAUUUAUCAAAGAUCUAAGCCAGGAUUUACAGAUUUACCGCGGAUUUGCCCAGAUUUACCGAGAUUUGCUCGAGAUUUAGCAAGAUUGAUUUGCAGAGUGCUGUAAAUCUAGCUAACUUGUAGUAUAGUCUAUACAAGGUUUACAUAGCAAGACAACAUACAGUCAUGAUACAUCUAGCUAUAAUAUUUUACAUACUUCAGUGCACGAUGCAUCGUUUGCAAUACCACAACUCUGGAAUUUUAGUGUUCACUUCAAGGCAUUUUCAGUGAAACCAACCCCCAAGAAACCAACCCCCAAGUGGGCAACUUGUCCCAUCACAAGCUAUCAUUUUGGUUCCAUCAUGGCAAAUGUUAAUAAUAAUUUGCUUUGAAGCCCCUCUCUUCCUCCUCUCAGGUCCCACUGGAAAUGGGGUCAUCUUUUCAUCUUCAAUGCAGUGAAGAAAAUGGUUUCUCAUAGAAAGUUGUAUGAAUGUGACGCCACUGGCAUAGGCUAUCGAAAACAACCCACAAUCUGAUGCCCCCCACUGCUUUGGCAUUUACACAGUCUAAUGAAAUGUUCACUUGAUUUCAGCAACUAUGCGAGUAGAAUCUUGGUGGUCAAACUAAUCUCUGUAUGAGAGUACAAUGAGUCAUAUGGCUGCGGCCCAAUGAUUUCUAUUAAUGUGUACGACGUGGAGAGAAUCUGGAGGUAGAGGCUCUAGAGGUUUGGUUUGGGUUAGUGUACUUCGUAGCCCUCCAUAUUGAGGGAAUUGGCUAGUUUUUGUGCACAGUUUCAAGUGGUUGUCAUUGAGCCACUUUUUACUGCUUAGAAGUACAGCCUUGUACAGAUAAAAUUGCUCAAUUUUUCCAAAUGCUUGUACCCUAGGUUCGGUGUCUUCAUCACUACUGCUGGAUAUCGUGGAUAUCGUUAUCUUAGUCGAGCCAGUUUUUAGGUUACUGCUGAUGAAUGAUUCACUCUCAGCUCGUUGAGUUACUCUCCCCGAUAGUAUGGCUUACUACAUUCUGAAGUAAGGUAGGAUCAGCUACGGACUGUUUAAUACCAACACACUGCUUGUGCACACCUGGAUUAUGGGAUUAUGAAACAGUUUAAACACUCUCGUUGAGUCUUCUUGAGCCAGAAACCACGAGCAGAGAACACACAAAUUGAUACACAUAUCUUUGUAUGGGUGAUGGGUGAUUAGCUUAGCAAACUGCAAUACUCUUCCAAUGGACCACUUACCUUCUUCCGUUUCAAACACUCCUACACUCACCACGUCAGUUAUCGUGUGCUCUCAGUUCCAUCGAUGGUGCUUUUAGGUUUUUUGAUAAAAGAAGAAUAAGGCUGCUUGUUUCUUACUCGAAACAGCCUGUCUGAUGAAACACGUUCAACUUCUUGAAAAAGCCAAACUGCUGUUAUUUUUCUAAUAAAUACAGACUUGCCAUCUUCACCUGAUACUUUCAGAAAUGGUAUUUUCGUACCAAGCGGCAAUGAAUCAGGUGUUGACACUUUUAUCAGUCUUGGGAGGGACUGCUGUAUAUGGUUUAGUUUACAUUCUAAAUCUGUCGAUAUCAAUUUGUUUUUGGACAGAAUAUCUACUUCCGAUAUAUUUGUGUCGGAAUCAAAGAGUCUUCAUAAUCGCUGUCAUCAGAGGAGUCUCCAAAAAUAUCUGUUUCAUCACAGUCUAUUGUUGGAAUGUUUUCAUCCCACUCAUUUCUUGUCUUCAAAAGAUCAGCCAUGCCCAGCUCGUUUGUGCCCUUUGUUUAGCUCUCUGCACAGCUAAAACAAUAGCUAGCUCUGCAGGGACAAACAAAUUGCUACCCUCUUUAGCUCGAUUUAUUGCGGGAAGAUUAUGUUAGUCUUUGCUGACUCAGUGACUCUGAAUUUGCAGUCGAUGCACACGUCUCACCAGGCCAAGCAUGCCAAAGUUGAUAACAGUAGAGAAAAUACUAGUCAUACUGCGAGCUGCUCUGAACAAUCGACCCAUGGUUGAAAGGCAGAGCUGUGCUUGUUUAACUUGUUUUGAAUUGUUAGAAUAAGAGUAGUGUGCAUUGAGUUCAAUGCACAUGUACGCAUUUAAUGUAAUAAACUUAUUCGUGAGGUUGGAUCCAUUUGCGCCAAUAGCGGACAAAAAAUGUCGCAUACCAAAUGCACUCAAUACGCUCAGCAGGAGUUAGAGAUUUGUUUAGAUAGCUGUCUAUAAACGCAUUGCAUUACUUGAAUGCAAAUUCUUGUGCCUGUUGCAUCAGGGAAACUGGCAAGUAGUUUCGCAGCCUUGAUAAGGUUAAGCACAGCAUCAUAGUUUUGCUUAUCCUUAUGGUACCCAUGUAAGUCUUUACCCACUGCAGCUUGCAACACUUGCAACAAAGGAGCCCAUAGGCAAAACAAUUGAUGGUUUUAGUAGCCUGCAUUUCAAUUUUACAGCGAUAUGGACAAUAUCCUGAAUGUAUGCUACUGAGCAUGGUCUUUCUAAGCAAAACCAUGUCCAUUUUGACGGGAUCUUUGGGCUGCUUAAAGGAUACUUAGGAAUCAGUUUAAUCUCUUCCUUGUAUCUAGAGUCACUCACAUGUAUACCAGAUAAGAGACAAGAAUCGCCAAAACUUAGCACUACAAUACUCCUUUUGUGACAUUCCGUUAUAAUAUGUUGCCACCAAGUCAUUAUGGUAGGUGUCUUAAACAAGUUAUCAUUAUGGUAGGUGUCUUAAACAAGUUAUCGCUACCAAAACGUGCUAGAGUAAGCGUACUUCGCCAUUUUGUGUUUGCUCAACAUUUUUUCAAUUGCUUUGAACGAAACAGGUCAACUUCAGGUAGACCAGAAUCAUUAAGAGGUAGUACAAAACCAACGCACCUGUCAGUUUCAUGGUCAUAUUCAACUCUUGAAAUGGCAUCUUCUCCUACAGAUAUCGUGCAUUGUGAAGAUCAAUGUGGUUCAUCGAAACGAAAUUGACCUUCAUUGAUAGUCUUGUAUUCUGAGUGAACAAUUCGCUGUACACUUCGCAGAGAAGGCAUAACGUUUUUCUGGAGGAAGUCAUAUGCCGCAUAUAUAAACAGAGAAGUUGGAAGUUGCAAACUUCUUCAACAUUUCUGAGUGUCUCCUACCAUGUGGUAACCUGGAUAUAUUCCUUCAGCAUUUGCCACAAUCUGUCGUAGUACAUGACUGCAGAGUAGAGUCGCUGGUGUGAAGCAUAUCAAGUAGCUUCUUAUUAUCAUUUGUCAAUCUGUCAAUCUCAUCAAUGACAAAGAGUAAUCGCUGUUUGAUCAGGGUCACUUUGGGCUGCUUCAAGUUUGCGCUUUCGUCGAGCAUCACGGGAAUAGUCGAAGAGAGAAAAUGUAGCCCCUCUCCUCUGCUGAUCACUGUGUAGAGGGGCUCCUUGAAAACCCUGCUUAGUAUUGGCCUGCUCAAUUACUGGCACUGUGACAAAAGUUGGCUCUCACUUUCAGUCAUAUUGACUGCUUGUGCUUUGAUCGAGUCGGGCUCAACUGCAGCAGUUACUGUCUCAUUGUUAUGGCUAUCGGGUCCAGCCAAAUCAAUGUUGUGGUGAUCUGUGAGAGUUCUUGGCGCAAGAUCACUCGCAUGCACAUUAGCUCUAGAGGGUGGACCUGAAGAAGAUGAGGGAGGCGACUGUGAUCUGCUACCAGACAGCUGGUUUGCACAUGUUUUGGCAUGUCUGGUCCGAUUUGAUACUGUGGAUUUAGGAUGAGUUUGUAGUUUAAUUUUUACUUUGCAUGCACGGCACUCAAGGAAAGCAGACAACAAGUGACUCUUUGCUACAUGUGAUACUUUUACAGACGCUCUCCCUGGUCGACUGCUGCUUUCGUACCCACUUUGCAAUGGCACGCCUAAUUUGGCCUGUCACAUGGCUGGUUUUCUUGCUGGUCGAGCAGGUACCUUAGUAUUUUCAGCCUUAGAUCGGACACUUUUCAGCGCUGCCUUUUUGGUGGUUUCAACCUGCCUUUGUAUAUCUGUAUAUCUGACAAAAAAGUACAUAAUCGUAUCCGGUGACCAGGUGGGAAAACAAAAGGUUUUAGAGAUAGUGUGUACUCUUGUUACCAGAAAAAUGUCGGUUUAUAAAUUAUGUUAAUUGAAUUCCCAGGCUUGUCCAUUGAUGCAACCACCUCAACAACAUCGAAUCCAGCAGCAAGCAUACACUUUACAACGGAAGUUUAUCAUGCAUGAGAGCGAGAAAAUCUUCGUCGCUGAGUGAAGCUGGCUCUAAAAGCAAUGGCUCACCUUGAUUCAGUCACUCAGUACAGUAGCUAUAAAGUGCUGCACAAUGCAUAGAUACUAGUAUCUAUGCAUAAUGUAAUAGAUAGUGCAUGCAGAUAGUGCAUGCACCUCGAUGCAAGGUUCAUGGAGAAGGUUCACAGGUCAGAUAGAGAUUCAGAGAUUUAGAGAUGUACCCAAGAUUUAAAAGAUUUAAAGAGAAGAUUUAGGCGAAGGGUGUACAAGAUUUAAAGGAGUGUCUGACCCCUCGGUGUCACCCGAGAGCUAUUCGAAAGUGUUCUUCCAUUUAGCCCAGGUGUCCGGUUGUUUGAAGUCAAACGACUUCAAACGCUUCAGGGGUUUUCAGUUGGAGUUGUGCCAUCCCGCCGCUGCCACCAUGUAGCGGUUGUUAGAGCUAGGUUCAGUAUAGUAUUCAAUAACUGACAACUCAAUAAUACAACAGCAUGGGUAACAUAUAUAUUACAUCAUAGUUCAACAGAGUUCAACAGGAAGUUCCAUACAGUUCACAUCUGCCACACAUCCCCUCAGGACACACAUCCCCUCAGGAGCGGGUCACCACCGGGAUCACCACCCCAGUGUCAUCGGGUGUCACGACUAUGCUCCAGCUGGCAACCCUGGACGCCCGGAUUCGGGCCGCCAUCCCCAUCCUGUCGUCGGCCAGCGGGACUCGAACUCCUCCCGUACCAGGGUUUCUAUCAGGAAGGCUCGGCAGUAUACCCAGCAGCGGAGCGGGUCCAUCCUAUAUCUCGGACUAGGCAGCUUCCCAACUCCACACUAGGAGGGGAUUCCCACCCGUCCCGUCCCUGCCACCAGCUCUGCCAACAAUCCCAUCGGUGCUUCCUGACACGGCCCCAGGACUCCCAGCCUUGAAACGCUCCCUCGUGGAUCAGAUUCUCGCUGAGAAGUACGUGGACUUUGGGGAACUCCCUCUGCCUCACCAGCCAUGUCCGGGGAUGCAGAAGACAAAUUGUCCUUAUCCAGGCGGCUGACUACUUGCAGUCUAGACAGGACUUCGCCACAUGGACUUUGCACUGUACUCGGCAGUCCGACGCCUCUCUUCCAAUACUCAGCCAUUGUGGUAAAACUGAGCAAAAAGUUUUUAAAGUUAAGGUUAGAGUGUUUUUUAGCUUUUUAGCUUUGCAAGUCAACCGCCUCUAUCAAGAGGUGCAUCUCAACGCCCUGCAUCUGGAGGUAUACAUAACUUGUCCAGAGACAGUAGUAGAGGUCCAACAGUACCUCUACCUACACAAGAGGAGGACCCCUACUAAUUCAAGAGACCCUAACAGAGGAGGGCAAAUGCGCCUAGAGAAUAAUUAAUUGAAUUGUUGUAUCUACAUCUAGUGCGUUGAACACACGCUAUAAUUAUUAUGUAGUGUGCUCAGUACAGCCCCUUUAAUUUUGUUAUGGUAUUGCACAUGUUCAAUAUUAUGUAACGAAUUCACGUAACUAAAUCUUCACACAAAUCUAAUUAUUGUUGGUGUAAAUAGAUAGAGUGUAAAUUAGCAAGGAGUAUAACCAAAGAUUCGAGUCAAUAAUUAUUAUUGCAUGCAUGCAUAUAUAGACGAUGUGGGAUCCAUCCCUCAAAGAAUGACAGUCUCAACUAAAGGGCAUGUGCAUCAAGCAUGUGCACGUGCAAAACAGGAGAAAAUGGUUGGAGAGCUAGAGCAAUUUUCACUAAAAACAGCGGUGCUUACUAUAAUUACUAUAAUUAUAAUAAAUUAUAUGCAUGCUGGAGCAAUUAAUUAUAGGUAUUAUAAUUAUCGCUUAAACGCAACGAAUUUCAUUUGAACACAAUAUUAUAGCUUCCUCUUAGAGUGGAGAUCUUCUGCCGGAUCGGUAAUCAAUAUGGCUCUGCGUACAUCCUGGUGGUGAAGAGGUGAAGAGGGAAGUGAGCGAUUUCAAGGGUGUCUUGCUCUUUUUGGAGCUCCUUGGCCAACUCGUGACGAAAUGAGAGGAGGGUUUUCAGUGCGGGUACCCUCUGAGCUGAUCCUCUCUGUCGACACCCCACGGGACGGAGAUUUUUUCGCCUGUCUUGACUGUACGUUGUACAUAGGUGACGUUUCAAAGGCUGUGGAGAUCACACGGACAACCCUAUUACCGUCACCUUGUCUUUCUGGAGAGUCCCCCCUGAAAAGCUUUGGCGCCGCCUCUGCGGUCAGCGCGAGCUGUACCACAAGCAUAAAUGCCAUCCUUCUCCAAGUCUUCCAACAGUUUGAAAAAGUUGGUCUCGUACUCCCAGUUGCUUCUCUGGUGUGGCUUCUCUCUCCCUGUAUACACUUGUAGCAUGUGGAAGUACCUGUCUGCUAGGACCCAAACCUUGAUUCCUCAGGUUUAUUUGGGUUCAGUGGAGAUCUACUUUAUCAUUGCCUCGUCUUUACGAGCUGCUGCAGCUUGUUGAUCUUAUUGAAGAGGGGGCGUACUUUGGCCAAACGAUCGCGAGUGGUGUCUGUGAAAUAUUGUCCGUGAAAUGGAGGUAUCCCUAAAGCGAUCGCGUGAGAUCUUCGAUGCAAGUGGAAUUGUAGUGGAAUAGCACGUCUCUCGUCUCUCCUAUCCCCUUACUAUCCCCUUUAGCUCAGCAGUCGUGAUGUUGUAGUUUGUAGUGGGGUUGUCUCGCGUAUCGAUUGGGUGCAUUGGUCGAUUGGGUGCAUUGGGUGCAUGGAAAAGAAGGAAACGGAAGGCGGAAACGGCGGAAACGGAAAACGGAAAUAUCUCAGCUGUACGACCAUUACCAUUCUGUGUUUUUUGACAUGAAUAUGUAGAGAGCUGAGUUGUAGGAAAGCAAUAAGAUAAGGUAGCUUGAGACAAGGGGAGCAUGCUUCCUACGCCCAAUGACACAGAAAAGCAGGCCAGAAUCUGAUAACUGAAUACAUCCAGUUUUCGCAAGUAACAGAUGACGUCAAGUAAGACCUACAUUGCAUGGCAACUUGAUGGCUGAACGACUGAGCCAUCUAAACAGUAUAUACUGCAUGGUCGGUUUUCGGUUUUUACUUCACUUGCUUCAUGUUCACUCAUGUUUAUUUAUUGAUAUUGAUUUAUAUAUUCAAUUUAACCGUCGGAUUCUUAAUUAACAGUGAAGUGAAAUGAGCAAUAAAAUGCCAUACAACAAGGAAUAAAAUGGUGUUGCCAUAACACACUCACCUGUUUUUAUCAUUUUAAAUGCUCGGCCAGCGGUGAGAUAAAAUCCAAAAUUUUUUUUUAUGGAUCAGCCUAUCAUAUUAUGGUAUAAAGGUUUGACUAAGCUUGAUUUUCACAUCAUAUGAAUGUAACAGUGCUAAGAUAAUAUUAUAUCAAUUUUACAAUACGUAUGUAUUACUAUGAAAUUUACAAGCUCACAUAAGCUUGAUUUUCACAUCAUAUGAAUGUAACAGUGCUAAGAUCAAUUUUACAAUACGUAUGUAUUACUAUGAAAUUUACAAGCUCACAUAAAGACUGUUCUAUUUUAGCUAUACUAUACUGAUAUUCUAGCUAUACUAUACUACUUGCCAGAGUCACACAGUGAGCCGGUCUUUCACCGUCCUGGUCCAUAGCGCUAGCGUCUAGGUCCACGUCAUGCAUAUCCUCAGUCCCAGACAGCGUCUGGCAUAAAGCUGGUAGCGGUAUCCUACUAUCCCCUCUCCUUCAUAGGCACUGUCAUCACCAGAGGAGACAUCGCCAUUGCUGUCCUCAAGCUGUUCAAGCACAUCGGCACAUGUAAACAAUCUAGCCAUAGCUUGGAAAAUUCUAGACACGUGAUUCUACAGGUAUUCCUCUAUACAGGGACGUGCUAAGUAUCGCAGAAUUAGAAUUUCGCAAAAAAAGUCACUAUUGCGGGCCACGAUUGUGGCCCGUGAUGGUUAAAGGGUUAACAAUGUCUGUAAAUUCUCUAUCGGGUCCCAUACAACAAGGAAUAAAGAAUAAAAUGGUGCAACAUGUGUUGCCACGGUCACCCGUUUUUAUGAGUUUUUUUUAUGGAUCAGCCUAUUAUGUGACAGGCUCUAGGAAAACAGAUCAAUUGGAGCAGAUAUUGGUAUUGAGCAAUAGCCAGAUUUAUAGACUACAGUGUAUAAUCUCAUAGUCUUUCUCUGCAAAAUCUGAUGCUCUGAAUCCAACUCUUUCCACCAAAGCGCUUUGUCUAAGCAUCACCACAUCAACCAUUACCUUACUCUUUGAGUGCGUUUCCAACGCGCAUAACUCAGGCAUAACUCAGGCAUAUGUGCAAACUAAGCACAUCAAUGCGUAGGCAAUUCUUGUAUAUAGAUCGCAAAAAUUAUAGCUUGCGCCUGUUUUCCCAGAGCCUGUCACAUAUGCUUUCACAUCAAUUUGAAGUACAAUACGUACAUGUAUUACUAUAUCGGUGAACGAUCUAUGAAGCAUAAGCUUGUGCUACUGUCCAUUCCUGCCCAUUCCUAUACAAAGUAUUCUUUUAUGAGCUUUUCAAUAAGCUGUAUUAUAAAUACUACUACUCAAGAUCUACACGUCUUACCUGCAUUCAUUACAGACGUAGACAUGGAAGAUUCAUCUAACUUGGCAAGCAGGCACCUCUUCACCUUGUGAGUCUCUGAUACUUUUUAGCGGGCGCUGGAAGGGGGCCUGGCUGGCUCCAAUGUCUCUUUUCUCUACUAGCUCUGAUCCCAUAAUAAUUGUCUCCGUAAAUAACACUGCCCACUUGUUCACGUCCGUAUACUGGAUUCUAUUUUUAGUAUAUCCGGUCUCUGAUAUGAAGGGUACAUAGUGAGUUGCAUGCCCUUGGUGAUAGUAAGUGCUCUUUAGUUAUCUGCUUCAAUAGUGAAUGCUUAAUUAUACCUUUGCCUAUUGUUCUUGGACAACGGCUCAUAUGGAAGAAAAGAAAAGGCAGUCACUGUUAAGGACAGAUUCUGUGGUGUUACAACACAAUGUAUUGGAGUAUUAGGAGUCAGCCGGCCGCACACAAUUGCAUCUGAGCCCAACCAACUCUGAGCCCAACCCACCAAAUUUGCUUGAUGUUAUCUCCGCCCCCAAUGAAGUGGCUGUGCACAAACUAACCAUCGAUUUUAUGCGGAGGCCUUUAAAAGCUGUCAACUAAGCACUCUGGUUAACUAACAAAAGUGCUUGCUGCUUCCUCUUCGAAAAUAUUCUAUGGCUACCAAGAUGGUCCAGAGGGUCUACCAAUGGAUAUUAAACCUUUUUUUUUUUUUUUUUAAGUGUCCUAAUUGAAUAGCUCAGCAGAACUUCAUCGCAUUCAUGAUAGUCAUUCAUGAUAUCAUGCAACAUUCACAAGUUGAUAGCACGCUCCCUCCCAGAUUGUACAUUUUGAACGGUAAAGGGAUAAUCUUUACAACAAUGGGUACGGAUCGUCGCCCACCCUCUGCCACGCCCACUGGGUUGUUUUUCAUGACUGACACUUGUAAAACGACAUGUACACACAAUUAAUAUUUUAACUAAUUGGUGUUUGAAUUUUUUUGUAAGAUUUUAUGUAAGAUUUUUGUAGGAUG